CCGAAUUGUCAACAUGGGUUGUUGCUGGUCUCCGAACCGGGGGCAUGUGCACACUCUGUUUACACAUCCACCCACACCUGUGCACCCUCUGUAGUUCUAUGGCGUGGGUGACUUUGUCCCCUUGCUGUGGUUCUGCGUCUUUACACACACACUGCCAUAAAGUCUCAUGGAAUGUUUGCCGCGUUUAACGCAAUACAAUA
rnacentral:misc_RNA from 1 species